rnacentral:rRNA from 1 species
GACGGAGGAUGCAAGUGUUAUCCGGAAUUAUUGGGCGUAAAGCGUCUGUAGGUUGCCUAACAAGUCUGUUGUUAAAGGUUAAAGCUUAACUUUAAAACUGCAGCAGAAACUGCUAGGCUUGAGUACAGUCGAAGUAGAGGGAAUUUCCAGUGUAGCGGUGAAAUGCGUAGAUAUUAGAAAGAACACCAGCGGCGAAAGCGCUCUACUGGACCAUUACUGACACUCAGAGACGAAAGCUAGGGGAGCGAAAGGGAUUAGAUACCCCUGUAGUCCUAGCCGUAAACGAUGGAUACUAGAUGUUGUGUUUUACAGUAUCGUAGCUAACGCGUUAAGUAUCCCGCCUGGGGAGUACGCUCGCAAGGGUG